rnacentral:rRNA from 1 species
AGUUAACGCUGGGGGCAUGCUUCAGGCAUGCAAGUCGAACGAGAAAGUCGUCUUCGGAUGGCGAGUAAAGUGGCGCACGGGUGAGUAAUACUUAGAUAACCUACCCUUUUGCUGGGGAUAACCCGCCGAAAGGCGGACUAAUACCGAAUAUUCCAUAUUGGUCUCCGGGCCAAAAUGGGAAAGCCGUAAGGCGCGAAAGGAGGGGUCUGAGCCCCAUUAGCUUGUUGGUAGGGUAAAAGCCUACCAAGGCGACGAUGGGUAGCUGGUCUGAGAGGAUGUCCAGCCACACUGGAACUGAAACACGGUCCAGACUCCUACGGGAGGCAGCAGCUAGGAAUAUUGCACAAUGGAGGAAACUCUGAUGCAGCAAUGCCCCGUGAGUGAUGAAGGCCUUCGGGUUGUAAAGCUCUUUUAAUGGGAAAGAAAUAAAUGACGGUACCCAUAGAAUAAGCACCGGCUAACUUCG